GACGAACGUUGGCGGCGUGCUUAACACAUGCAAGUGGAGCGACGAACCAGGGCUUGCCCUGGGGCAGAGCCGCGAACGGGUGAGUAACACGUGGGUAACGUGCCCCGAUGGCCGGGACAACCCGGGGAAACCCGGGCUAAUACCGGAUGUGCUGUCCCAACAUCAGUUGGGAUUGGAAAGGAAGCUUCGGCCUCCGCAUCGGGAUCGGCCCGCGGCCCAUUCGCUUGUUGGUGAGGUAACGGCUCACCAAGGCUGCGAUGGGUAGCUGGUCUGAGAGGACGAUCAGCCACACUGGGACUGAGACACGGCCCAGACUCCUACGGGAGGCAGCAGUGGGGAAUCUUGCGCAAUGCGCGAAAGCGUGACGCAGCAACGCCGCGUGGGGGAAGAAGGCCUUCGGGUUGUAAACCCCUUUCAGGAGGGACGAAGCGUGGGCGGUUAAUAGCCGGCCCACGUGACGGUACCUCCAGAAGAAGCCCCGGCUAACUACGUGCCAGCCGCCGCAGUAAAAC
rnacentral:rRNA from 1 species